UCGGACGGGUGGAGUAACGACGUGGAAACCUAGCCGUAUACUGGGGGAGUAACACUUAGAAAUAGGUGCUAAUACCGCAUAAGCGCACAGCUUCGCAUGAAGCGGUGUGAAAAACUCUGGUGGUAUACGAUGGUUCCGCGUCUGAUUAGCUAGUUGGUGGGGUAAUGGCCUACCAAGGCAACGAUCAGUAGCCGGCCUGAGAGGGUGAACGGCCACAUUGGGACUGAGACACGGCCCAAACUCCUACGGAAGGCAGCAG
rnacentral:rRNA from 1 species